rnacentral:lncRNA from 1 species
GCACACUCUGCUCACAUCAAGACCCUUGAAGAAUAAAGGAGUGUCACUACUGUGAAGUUGAGAUAUUGACUGACAGACAAGGAAACUUGAAAUGGGGAGUGGAGAAAACUAGUUACAAGAAUCGAUGGGACAAGUUGCAAACAGGUAUGUUGUAUUAGUCAUUUAAACUUAGUCUUUACUUGGAUGUAAGUAUAUUUGCAUAUAUAUUAGCUAAUUUUUUUUUGUUCACGUAGUCCAUUUUCCUGUCUUCUGAAAUAAAGUGUGUUAGUAAUAAAUUUUGUAUCUCAACAUUUACAUUUCAGAAUAUCAAAAGGGAAAUGUGACAAACCUAGAAGAGAAGUGAAAUCACCACCCACUAGAAGAGGAAAUCUGUAUUUUCUUUUGAAGAGAAAACCGACCUAAUUUUGGCUUUGCAAAGGAUAGUUGUAUUAUGUUAAGUGGAAGUACGGUUUUGCUAUCAUCUUCAUUUCAGUAUAGCUAAAAGAGGUGUAAAUGGAUACCAACUUGACAAAAACGUGAUGGUGAUAAAUUUGAAUUUUCUCAACUUAGCUAAACUGCAACUACAUUUCUAAGAAUUCUUGUCGCUGAAGAGUUACAAGUUAGUGGGGGCUGUGGAAGGUGUUUGAUGGGAUUUGUAGGGUCUCUGGAAUCAAGAGGCAGCCACAAAUGGAAGCUGGAUACAAAGUGCUGAGAGUAAGGACAAACCCACCGGAAGCGAUCGGAUCCAGGAUGAACUGGGACCUGGGGUGGCCUCUCUUGGUGCUCAAGGUUCCAAUUUGAAUAUAUCUGUCCUUUAAAAGAUGCUGGAGUCCUUUACUAGGGUUAUAAAUGGUGCCUGUGACAGACAUCAGAGAAACUGAAAGAGAAUUUGUUGGGAACCUCAGCAAAAGUCAAAAGUGUAUUCAUGUGUUCGAGUUUAGAGCUGGAAUGUUCACCACAAGCUUCACAUGUUCAGAGGAUGCAUCUUGCUUGCUGCUUUGCGUGGAGAGAACAAAUACUGAAGUCAAAAUUCUACCAGCAAGACCUGGAUUUAUACCACCUGAUGAGGACUAGGGCUGAGCUCCAGUCCUCAAUGCCUGCUUGUUUAAUGACUGGACUUAUGAUGAGGCAAACUGUUCAGACUUCAGAUCCACCGCUAGGACUUACCACCCAUGUUCCAACUUCCAAUGCAGGAACAUGAGUGACAGUGUUUGCUGAUGGUUGCUUUUCUUGCUUGCAGAUACUUGUAAGUAUACCAGUCAUCACUAUUCUCUUGCUCAGUGGCUACUCUACAAAGCAGGUAAGGCAUGAAUCUGCAAGUUGGGGCUGGCAGUUUUGAUCUCUAGUUUUCAAGGCUAAUUAUAUUCCAGUUACUUUUUGGAAAAGAGGGUAGUAUUCUCCCAGUGGUAUUAUUUCUGUUAUUUAUUAAAUGUUUGUACAUGUGAGGUUGCUUUGUGUCACUCUAACUUACCCUUUUCGUCAUUUUUCUUCCCCUGCACUAGGUUUAUGGUACCUCCAGCUAUAGUAAAG